UUUUUCAGGUCUCACAGGCAGGAGGCUGCAGGGUUACUAUUCACAGGCAGGCUUCAUCUAUCUAAGAACCUGCUGGGCAUCUUCUCCCCCAAGGGACGUCUCCCAGGAUGUCCUUGCAGUGCAGAGAGGCUCUGGGUUCCUGGACCCAAGAUAUAAUGGCUCUACAAGUGUUGGUGAGCUGAACCCAUGAGGCCUGUGACUGCAGCAGAAGGUCCAUACGUCUAGUUUGAUUUAACAGCUCCCACGUGAUCCUCUGCUACAGCUGGAAGACAGUGUCACCACGCCUUCCCCAUGUGAUGGGUGUAGCCCUGAAAUGUGAGCCCAGCUAAAAAUUGAGGAUGAAAGUCUAGGUGACUUUCUGGUGGCUGUGCAGAUGAGAAGUCGGACAGUGGCACUGCAGUUUGCUCUGAUUGACUCUGGAGCCUGUGUUUGAAGCUACAGCAAUACAACAGUCUGCUCCAGCGCUGAGCUUGUAGGAAGGCGACCACUCCAGGCCGACUCAAUGGCUUUAGCCUCCAGAGUUAUCGUCGUUUGGCAGGAAGUCUUAAAGAACCCCACAGCGUGCCCUUCCGCCCCUGGCACAUCAUAAGCUAUUUUGGGAUGAGUCAUCGGAAUUCUGUGGUUUGCAUAUCCUGAAGGGGAAGAGAAGACACUGUAUGGCUAACAUUUAUUUGAAAUAGCAAGUUGGAAAGAAAAAUUCUUCGAUAAAAGUUCAGCAUUAGAACACACAGGAAGGUAGGCUUGGUGACUUCUGCAUGUGACUGUCAUAAGCAGAUGCUUGUUGCGCUUCUCCCAAGCCACGUUGGAAGAUGCUUUCCAAAUGCCUUGCGCUGAGCACAUCACCAGAAUGGUUUCCAAGCUACAAGAUGGCUCCAGGGGACACAGGAUACUCACCUGGCUGAGUAAGGAGGGAGAAGGGAUCUGUAAGUGCUCCCCCGUCAGCUGCUACACACUCUGACAUGCAGCUAAUAAUUUAUGAACUUCUAACUUUGGAGGCUGCCUUCAGAUGAUAAGCCUCAUAAAAGCUAACAAGGGUAUAUCUUUGGUAAGUCAGCGAAGCAUUAAAAGGACAAAUAGCCAGUUGAUUUAUUGCUUACUGGAAUAUGUUUGAACAUGAAAGAUUAAAAAGUGAGAUUUCCUUUUCAUUUAAAAGUUAUAUCAGCAGAAACACACAUACGCACUCACAAACUCACACACUCACAUACAACACUAACCAGACUCAGCAGGUUGUAUUGAGAUAUUUAUCCAUAUGUGUGUGUGUGUGUGUGUGUGUGUGUGUGUGUAUACACACACACAUAUAUAUGUAUACACAUACACAUAUAUAUAAAACAAUGCUAAUUGAAGAUUAAAAGGCUAUGAACUUAAAAGGGAGGAGGGAGGGGCUGGAAGAAGGACAGGAGGGACAAAGUGAUAUAACUAUAUUUUAGCUUAAAAUAAAAGAGAUGAACU
rnacentral:lncRNA from 1 species